CCCUCAUCACAUAGACAUUUUAUCAGCUCAUUUCAUUGCAAGAAGGAUGACAGGGACAAAGGUCACCAAAAGUAAAGAGAGCCACAGCCACUCGACAUGAAUCUUGAAGAAACAGAGUUUUAUUUGAAGUUGAAGAAUUCAUUUGGUUCUGGAAGCUGCUCUGAGGAGUAAGAAACAAGCCCGGGCUUUGACCCUGAGAUACCUAGAAUGGGAGUGGGCUGUGGUUCUCUAUGAGAAGUUGGGAUGGCCACAAUUCAGUCAAGCACAGAGGAGGAGAAGACAUUUGUGAAGACGCUGAGUGUGGAGAGUCUGCUUAUCUGGAAGGGGUGACCCUGAGCAUACAGACUGGAGGCUGAGUCAGCAGAGAGAAGGUAGCAGAUGUCAAGAUAAGACAAAGAGGGUGGAUUACAGAGACACUUCCAUCUCCACUUGGGACAGAGGUGAAGACAGGGCAGUCCACCACAGGACCUGUGAAGACAGAUGAACCUUCCUAUGGGGGAAACAGUUUCCCAGCCCCUGAUGAUGUCUCCGUACAGAUGAAUAACGGGGGAGAACCUCUUACCAGUUGGCCGAGUUCUGCUGGAAUUCCAGAAACAACACAGACCAAGGCUUGAGCCAGUUGGUUUCUUUGUCUACAGGGAAAAUAGAAACACAUGUUUGAUAGAAAAGAAAAAAAAAAAAAAAAGCAAAAC